UUUUAAACACCUGAAGGCCUGGUUGACUCCUGCAUAGAGACUGCACAAUAGACACUGCAGCUGAAGCAUUGCUAAUUCAACAGCAGGGAAGAAUCUAAUUGUUUGUUGCUCUGGUGACUGCCAUGAUGACUAUGCAAACACGUUUUCCCCUCCCUCUCUCCAGGUUCUGUGCCCUUUGAUUGUCCCUGAGGACUUUUCUGAUUGAAGUUCAGCUGCUAUUCAUUUGCAUGAGUCAUCUCACUGGAUGACAAGGUACCCAGUUGGACCAAUCCAGAGCAGGCACCUUGCACUGAGGACCGUGACACAGAUGAGCAAUGACGUUGGGUCAUGACCCAUUGAUGAUAGAAGUGAAUCAACGCACCACAGACGGACAAAAGAGAGAUUAUUAACUCAGUGCUUAAUGCAGAGUGCCAAAAAUCAGGAUUUCCCUCUGGCUCUGUACUGAUUACUGUGUGACCUCAGGAAAAUCUCAUGAUAUCUCAGAGCCUCCGUUUCCU
rnacentral:lncRNA from 1 species